UUGUCCUUGUGUGUUCAUGCAUCUCA
rnacentral:piRNA from 1 species